AACGUAGGAGGCGAGCGUUAUCCGGAUUUACUGGGUGUAAAGCGCAUGCAGGCGGUUGGCUAAGUUGGAUGUGAAAGCUCCUGGCUUAACUGGGAGAGGUCGUUCAAAACUAGCCGACUAGAGGAUGGUAAGGGAAAGCGGAAUUCCGGGAGUAGUGGUGAAAUGCGUAGAUAUCCGGAGGAACACCAGUGGCGAAGGCGGCUUUCUGGACCAUGACUGACGCUCAGAUGCGAAAGCUAGGGUAGCAAACGGG
rnacentral:rRNA from 1 species